GUGGGAGAAUUUCUUCGGGUAAUCAUCAUCCUUUUAAGAAAGAAAAAAAGAAGAAGAAUAAAAAGGUGCCUGGUGCUGUGAGUCAGUCUCAAAAACCUAAGUUCAAGACUGAUCAAAGUCAAGUAGAGUGCUUCUUUUACAAGAAGCAGGAUCACUGGAAGAGGAAUUAUCCUUAGUAUAUCACUUUCCUUAAUCCGAACAAGCCAAAGAAGAAGAAGCAAUCAAUUGCUGGA
rnacentral:lncRNA from 1 species